GGGGAAUAUUGGGCAAUGGGCGGAAGCCUGACCCAGCAACGCCGCGUGAGGGAAGAAGGUUUUCGGAUUGUAAACCUCUGUUCUUGGGGAAGAGGAAGAGACGGUACCCAAGGAGGAAGCCCCGGCUAACUACGUGCCAGCAGCCGCGGUAAUACGUAGGGGGCGAGCGUUGUCCGGAAUGAUUGGGCGUAAAGGGCGCGCAGGCGGCCUGUCAAGUCAGUAGUGGAAGUCCAUUUUUCAAGGAUGGAAGUGCUAUAGAAACUGAUGGGCUUGAGUGCAGGAGAGGUUAUCGGAAUUCCCGGUGUAGCGGUGAAAUGCGUAGAGAUCGGGAGGAACACCAGUGGCGAAGGCGGGUAACUGGACUGCAACUGACGCUGAGGCGCGAAAGUGUGGGGAGCAAAC
rnacentral:rRNA from 1 species